GCCGCCUUAGCUCAGUGGUAGAGCCAUGCUCUUGUAAAGCAUAGGUCGUCGGUUCGAAUCCGACAGGCGGCU
rnacentral:tRNA from 1 species